AUGAUUUCAUCUUUGCAUCAGCUCCCCUCCUCUCCCUCCUCAAUUCCCCUCCCCACCUUUUUUUUUUUUUCAAAAUAGCAAAAAGGGGGAAAAAAAGGUGGGGAGGGGAAUUGAGGAGGGAGAGGAGGGGAGCUGAUGCAAAGAUGAGAAA